rnacentral:rRNA from 1 species
UACGUAGGGUGCGAGCGUUGUCCGGAAUUAUUGGGCGUAAAGGGCUCGUAGGCGGUUUGUCGCGUCGGGAGUGAAAACCAGGUGCUUAACACCUGGCUUGCUUUCGAUACGGGCAGACUAGAGGUAUGCAGGGGAGAACGGAAUUCCUGGUGUAGCGGUGAAAUGCGCAGAUAUCGGAGGAACACCGGUGGCGAAGGCGGCAUCCUGGACCGGCAUUGACGCUGAGGCGCGGAAAGCCAGGGGAGCAAAGCGGG